rnacentral:lncRNA from 1 species
GUCUUUUUGAAGGUGGUGGUCACUUACAGAAGCCUUUUAGUUUCAGGGCUCUUGUAUUGUCUGUGGAAUUUAUGUUGCUUUAGAACACACAUUUAUAAAAAGGAGGUUCCAAUACUGAGAAAUACCAAGUACAGAUUUUAAAGAGUUACUUCAUUGGGAAUGGAGGUGGGAUAAAGCAAAGCCAUGGGCAGAGAGGUGUGACAGGCAUUUGUGAAGUUAGAGCAAGGGCAUGACAAAGUUUGCCCAGUGAAAAGGAGCAAAUAUGGAGGACUUAUGCAUGAGGCUGAAAUUUCUGAUAUCAGAGGAGAGAGGCUGGUUUGGAGCAGAGGACUGGAGUGGAUAACCAAGAAACAAAGUGAAAGUCAGUGGGAGCCUGCCUGCGCUGGAAUGCCUGCCCCAGUUGUGAACUGUGAAAUCCAGAUGGUUUUCCUCCCACCGAACGGGGAGCGCUGCCGCAGCUCGGCUGGCCGCAGCUUGUGGGCGCUGAUACCUGGGUGCUGGUUGGGCUCGGGGCCUGCCGGCUGCAGGAGGAGAAGUGUGGGGUAUGGGAUUUGGCACGUUGCUGUCUGUGCCCCCAAACCAGGGGCACACCUCAACAUUGUGCUGGUCCACCCGUGUUCAGCCCCUUCCAGGAUGCUGCUGUGGAAUGGGAAAAAGAAGCAGGUUUUGAACCCUGUCCUUUUGUCAGAACGUCCUGGGAGAAAUGGUGAUAGUGGGGAGGCGCUGGGGGGUGGGAGCUGCCUGCCGUUCAUGAGGUCUCUUCCAGUGAUGGAAGAUGACAUUACCACAGGCUGAUGUUACCCUGGGCUGCCCCAGGCGAAGCUGCUCGCAGGUCGAGGUGCUCCUUCCCCACUGCUCAGCGCUGCUGAGGCCGCUCCUGUAGUGCUGGCUCCAGCGCCAUGGUCCCCACUACACCGUGAUGCUCAGCACAAGAGGGACAAGGAGCUCAAGAGACCAGUAAGAGCCCAAGGAAGGGCCACCAAGAAAAGAGCCUGAGUUGUCUCGGCUACAAGGAGAGUUUGGGAGAACUGGGGCUGCUCGGCCUGCAGAAGACGAGACUCCCCCAUGGCCAUAAACACCUGAAGGGAGGUGAGGAGAGGACAGAGCCCGACCAUGCUCGGCGGUGCCCAGCACCAGGACCAGGGGCACUGGGCACAGACUGGAGCACCAGAAGGCACCAUGGUGCUGGGAGGAUGCAUGAGCAUGGGGCUGGGCACCCUGCUCGGGGGGACCCUGCAGGGGCUGGGGGUGCCUGGAGGCACCCGGAGGUGCCUCAAGCCUCAGCUGGUCUGAGACGCUGUGAUCAUAAUCACAUAGGCCAUGUGUUAUAUGUUACUUACGUAGUGAAUUCUCA